rnacentral:rRNA from 1 species
UGGGGAAUUUUGGACAAUGGGCGAAAGCCUGAUCCAGCAAUGCCGCGUGUGUGAAGAAGGCCUUCGGGUUGUAAAGCACUUUUGUCCGGAAAGAAAUCCUUGGCUCUAAUACAGUCGGGGGAUGACGGUACCGGAAGAAUAAGCACCGGCUAACUACGUGCCAGCAGCCGCGGUAAUACGUAGGGUGCAAGCGUUAAUCGGAAUUACUGGGCGUAAAGCGUGCGCAGGCGGUUUGCUAAGACCGAUGUGAAAUCCCCGGGCUCAACCUGGGAACUGCAUUGGUGACUGGCAGGCUAGAGUAUGGCAGAGGGGGGUAGAAUUCCACGUGUAGCAGUGAAAUGCGUAGAGAUGUGGAGGAAUACCGAUGGCGAAGGCAGCCCCCUGGGCCAAUACUGACGCUCAUGCACGAAAGCGUGGGGAGCAAACAGGAUUAGAUACCCUGGUAGUCCACGCCCUAAAACGAUGUCAACUAGUUGUUGGGGAUUCAUUUCCUUAGUAACGUAGCUAACGCGUGAAGUUGACCGCCUGGGGAGUA